UGGGGAAUAUUGGGCAAUGGGCGAAAGCCUGACCCAGCAACGCCGCGUGAAGGAAGAAGGCCUUCGGGUUGUAAACUUCUUUGACCAGGGACGAAAAAAAUGACGGUACCUGGAAAACAAGCCACGGCUAACUACGUGCCAGCAGCCGCGGUAAUACGUAGGUGGCAAGCGUUAUCCGGAUUUACUGGGUGUAAAGGGCGUGUAGGCGGUUUUGUAAGUCGGAUGUGAAAUUCCCAGGCUUAACCUGGGAGCUGCACCCGAAACUAUAGAACUUGAGUACUGGAGAGGAUAGUGGAAUUCCUAGUGUAGCGGUAAAAUGCGUAGAUAUUAGGAGGAACAUCAGUGGCGAAGGCGACUAUCUGGACAGUAACUGACGCUGAGGCGCGAAAGCGUGGGGAGCAAACAGG
rnacentral:rRNA from 2 species